GCCCGCAUAGAUCAACACUAGAUCAUCUCUCCACAAUACAUUGCAACAUUCGGCCUGGUACCGAGAAGUAGGAGGUUCGAAUCCUCCUGUGGGCA